CGUCAAGUCAUCAUGCCCCUUAUGUCCAGGGCUUCACGCAUGCUACAAUGGCCGGUACAGAGGGCUGCGAUGUCGUGAGGCGGAGCGAAUCUCUUAAAGCCGGUCUCAGUUCGGAUCGCGGCCUGCAACUCGGCCGCGUGAAGGCGGAAUCGCUAGUAAUCGCGGAUCAGCAUGCCGCGGUGAAUACGUUCCCGGGCCUU
rnacentral:rRNA from 1 species